rnacentral:rRNA from 1 species
AUUGAACGCUGGCGGCAGGCCUAACACUUGCAAGUCGAACGGUAACAGGAAGCAGCUUGCUGCUUCGCUGACGAGUGGCGGACGGGUGAGUAAUGUCUGGGAAACUGCCUGAUGGAGGGGGAUAACUACUGGAAACGGUAGCUAAUACCGCAUAACGUCGCAAGACCAAAGAGGGGGACCUUAGGGCCUCUUGCCAUCGGAUGUGCCCAGAUGGGAUUAGCUAGUAGGUGGGGUAACGGCUCACCUAGGCGACGAUCCCUAGCUGGUCUGAGAGGAUGACCAGCCACACUGGAACUGAGACACGGUCCAGACUCCUACGGGAGGCAGCAGUGGGGAAUAUUGCACAAUGGGCGCAAGCCUGAUGCAGCCAUGCCGCGUGUAUGAAGAAGGCCUUCGGGUUGUAAAGUACUUUCAGCGGGGAGGAAGGGAGUAAAGUUAAUACCUUUGCUCAUUGACGUUACCCGCAGAAGAAGCACCGGCUAACUCCGUG